CAAGGGCAACCGGCGAACGGGUGCGUAACACGUGAGCAACCUGCCGAUCUGUGGGGGAUAGCCGGGCUAACGCCCGGGUAAUACCGCAUACGCUUCUUUUGGGGAGUCCCGAAAGAAGGAAACCUCCGGGGUGGAUCGAGGGGCUCGCGGCCUAUCAGCUAGUUGGUGAGGUCAAGGCUCACCAAGGCGACGACGGGUAGCUGGUCUGAGAGGAUGGCCAGCCACAUUGGGACUGAGAUACGGCCCAGACUCCUACGGGAGGCAGCAGUGGGGAAUAUUGCGCAAUGGCCGAAAGGCUGACGCAGCGACGCCGCGUGUGGGAGGAAGCCUUUCGGGGUGUAAACCACUGUUGCCCGGGACGAAUGACGCUUUUAGAGGCGUUUGACGGUACCGGGUGAGGAAGCACCGGCUAACUCCGUGCCAGCAGCCGCGGUAAUACGGAGGGUGCGAGCGUUGUCCGGAAUCAUUGGGCGUAAAGGGCGCGUAGGUGGUUGGGUAAGUCUAUGGUGAAAGCGCGGGGCUCAACCCCGCGUCUGCCGUGGAUACUGCUUGACUUGAGCACUGUAGAGGCAGGCGGAAUUCCGGGUGUAGCGGUGGAAUGCGUAGAGAUCCGGAAGAACACCAGGGGCGAAGGCGGCCUGCUGGGCAGUUGCUGACACUGAUGCGCGACAGCGUGGGGAGCAAACAGGAUUAGAUACCCUGGUAGUCCACGCCGUAAACGAUGGGUACUAGGCGCUUGGGGGAGCGACCCUCCGAGGGCCGGCGCUAACGCAUUAAGUACCCCGCCUGGGGAGUACGGCCGCAAGGCUGAAACUC
rnacentral:rRNA from 1 species